CUUCUAUCGCGGCCUGUUCUCAGGCUCUGCUUUCAGGAGAAAAUGAAAUGACUCAUAAGAAUACAAGGCAGUGCUGGUUGACAGACACUGAGUCUCUUUCGAGUUCAGAGCACUGGAAGAGUGACGUGGGCAGCAGGCAAACACCUAGCAGAGGAAGACGCAGUUGGAAUGGCCACGGAAAGAGGGGUUGAAGGCCUUUCUUGAUUUCCUGCCCUCCUGCAGCUGGUUCUACAAGACUGUCCAGAGAAACUUUCUUCAAAUGUUUCUGGAAUGAAGAAAAAGUGGCUUCUUGUUGGAAACAGAAGAGAUGAACUUAAUUGUUUGCUAUCAGAAAGCAAAGUAUAACGUCUCAAUCAGGUCAAGAGGAGGACAAGAAAAGUCAAGAAGCCCAAUCCUUUUGCUGUCCUCAGUGAGGCGUGUUAACCUUGAGGCAUCAGCACUGUGGAGAGGACUGGAGAUUAAUGGAAAAUGAUGAAAGAGGAAAAAAUACAAAACCUAAGGAAAUAAGACAAAGCUGCAAAAGGAACCUUUUGAACCAGAGUAAUGUGGAGUUAAGCAUGAGGGAUGGUAUUUUUAUUAUUAUUUUUUAUUAAUUAAUAUAUGAAGAGAGAGUAAGGUCGCAGGAGAGCAUGAGAGAGCAGGUCAUGGAAAAAUAUGAUUGGAAUGUCUAGAAGAUCAAAUUAUCUUUUCAUUACUGCAUUUUAAAAAGAUGAACAUUUCAGAGACUGAAAUACGUUGUGUUUUUCUGGGGAAUUAUAUUGUUAAAAGCCAAUUAUAGCUUCUUUCCUGAUAUUAAUGUACUGGCUAGGCUUGGUGAAUCAUGGCUGAAGACUUUGUGGCACAAAUCAAAAAGCAUUUAAUGAAGAUCACAGCUGAGUAGUGCAAGAGGGCAGAAGAGCAAUGGCCUUGAGCUGUAUGAACACGUCUCAAAACCAUGAGUGCCUGCUCCACCUGGAGCCCAGACCCAGACUCAGGGUCUGUGGUACGACUGGGCCAGAAGAGAAGUAAGGGUGGAUGGAGUGGAGAGAAAUGUGGCUGGGGAGAUCAAUAGUGACCAGAUUGUAUAGUCCUUCUCUGUAAGCCUGUUUAAGGAGUUUGGGCUUUUUUGAGGAAGCAAUGUGAUCCAUUCUUAGUUUUGGAACAUUCUAUCUGGCUAAAGUCUGGUGAUUGGAUUGUUACAAACAUUGGUGGAAGGGAGACAAAAAAUGUAAGGAAUAGAACUAAGAUUAAAGCAGUGGGGAUGGAGAGCAGCAGAUAGAUUUAGGAGCUGUCUGGAAUCAUAGGAUGGGGUGAUGGCUUGGGUGUGAAGUGGGAGCGUCAAGGAUGACCCCUAGAGCCCACUUUGGCCUGAGCAGUUGGGUAGAUGGUGGUGCUGCUACUGAGAGAAGGAACUUUGGAGGACAUACCAGCUCUGUGACAUUAAAAAUUAAAAAAGAUUUUUAAUUGUGAAAUAUAUUGAACAUAAAAUUUGCCAUCGUAACCUAAGUGUUCAGUUCAGUAGUGAGAAGUACAUUUACGUUGAUGUACAAAUAAUGUGUGGAACUGUUUUGAUCUUGCAAAACUGAAACUCUGUACCCAUUAAACGACUCCCCAUUCCUCCUUCCCCUGGUCCCUGGCAACAACCAUUCUACUUUCUGUCUCUAUGAAUUUGACUACUCUAGGUAGGUACCUCAAAUAAAUGGAAUCAAAC
rnacentral:lncRNA from 1 species